UUGGUCCGGCUCCACGUGCUCAUCAGACCCUGGGAUAAUGUUGGUCUGACUGUUGACCUGCACCUGAGCGUUGUUCUGUGUGCUUGAGUUUCCAACGCCAGAGAGGAAGGUGAUGAUGAAGGCCAGCAGGCUGAGAGAGCAGCGAAGUUGGUGGUGUGGUUGCAGAAACAUCUCAGGACUCCGUCUGAAGCGUUCCCUUUAGAGCAGCCGUCGGUGCUCCAGUCCUGCAGACUGUAGUCCCAGAAGACACAGGCGAAGUCGUACAGAGACGUCCCAUUCAUCAUCUGAGACAGCAGCAGAUACAACAUCUCAUCUCCACGUGUUGCGGCACCACGCUGCGCUCCUGACCUCUAACGCUGGCCGACAGGACCCUGAUGGUGGCCCGUCCCCUUCUAUACCGCCUCGACCUGAAGAAACGGUCGUUCUGGUAGAGGACGAAACCCAGCGAGACGUUUGAUGGCUUCUGACGGCCACUGACAGCCUCUUCAGACACAAGAAGAAACUGACAGGCUCCUGUAUGGCUUCG